GUGUUUUUGGCUUAAUUUAUGAACCAGCCAGAAAUUUAUUAGUUGGAAGUGCUCAAUUUCAAGUGUUCGAUAAGCCGCAAUCCAACAAUGUAUGAUCCGAGGCCGGAAUCGAGGCCUCGCCAACAUGAUGUGAAUGCAAGUCAUGUGGGCGUUAAUAAUCGAAGGCCUACUAAUUCGAGACCAGGCGAACAUUUCAGUCUCAACAUGCUCCUACGAAUGGCCAAGGCCAUGGCCAAUCCUAUGCCGACGGUCGUCCUCAGACGCAUCUUCCUGCGCAGCCUCAGGCCCGUCCCCAAGCCGAUGGAGGCUCGUCAAAGAUACAUGUCCAAGAAAAUCUGAACAUAAGACCCGGUCCAUCGGGAAUCGGCCCAUUGCAUCCUCUAAAAACUGCUGUACGACCAACUCCUUACCUCUUGCAACCCAGCAAUCAGCCAAUGGUAAGUUAAUAAGGAUGGAAAUUAUUUAUUAAUUUAAUUAAGUACAAAUAGGUGUACAACAUCAACCGCAGUUCAAUUCUAUUAAAAAUCGUAUAAUUAACACGGUUAAUCUAAAUUAGUUGUUGGAUUUCUGCGUAAAUAUAUUAGUGUAAUUUAGAAAUAUGGUUUUAAUUUAGAAUAUAUUUUAUUUAGAUCAUAAUAUUUAGAAUACAGUUUCUAUAUAUUUUGUUCACGCUUUCACUGCGCCAGUAUGGUAUUUAGACCACCCAGAGAGAUGCACCCCGGCACGCGCAGGGUAGUUAAACCACUGACCUGCUCUGGCGGCAUUUUCGGUUAUUUUGUUCAGUCUUAUCCGACCCUGCAAGCUAGCAAUUACUUAUAUUAAGUUUUGGUUUAAGUUUAAUUUAAUAAAUACAUUAAUUUGAAAGU
rnacentral:lncRNA from 1 species